GUGGGGAAUAUUGGACAAUGGGGGGAACCCUGAUCCAGCCAUGCCGCGUGUGUGAAGAAGGCCUUUUGGUUGUAAAGCACUUUAAGCGAGGAGGAGGCUACCGAGAUUAAUACUCUUGGAUAGUGGACGUUACUCGCAGAAUAAGCACCGGCUAACUCUGUGCCAGCAGCCGCGGUAAUACAGAGGGUGCGAGCGUUAAUCGGAUUUACUGGGCGUAAAGCGUGCGUAGGCGGAUUUUUAAGUCGGAUGUGAAAUCCCCGAGCUUAACUUGGGAAUUGCAAUCGAUACUGGGAAGCUAGAGUAUGGGAGAGGAUGGUAGAAUUCCAGGUGUAGCGGUGAAAUGCGUAGAGAUCUGGAGGAAUACCGAUGGCGAAGGCAGCCAUCUGGCCUAAUACUGACACUGAGGUGCGAAAGCAUGGGGAGCAAACAGGAUUAGAAACCCUGGUAGUCC
rnacentral:rRNA from 1 species